UUAAAACACCGAUUUCCGUACGAGCAUCGAAGUUAAGCAACGUUGAGCCUAGUCAGUACCUAGAUGGGUGAAUACUUGGGAAUACCAGGUGCUGAAA